GACGAACGCUGGCGGCGUGCCUAAUACAUGCAAGUCGAGCGGACUUUGCCUUCGGGUAAAGUUAGCGGCGGACGGGUGAGUAACACGUGGGUAACCUGCCCAUAAGACCGGGAUAACAUUCGGAAACGAAUGCUAAUACCGGAUACGCGAAUCGGUCGCAUGAUCGAAUCGGGAAAGGCGGAGCAAUCUGCCACUUAUGGAUGGACCCGCGGCGCAUUAGCUAGUUGGUGGGGUAACGGCUCACCAAGGCGACGAUGCGUAGCCGACCUGAGUGGGUGAUCGGCCACACUGGGACUGAGACACGGCCCAGACUCCUACGGGAGGCAGCAGUAGGGAAUCUUCCGCAAUGGACGAAAGUCUGACGGAGCAACGCCGCGUGAGUGAUGAAGGUUUUCGGAUCGUAAAGCUCUGUUGCCAGGGAAGAACGCUUGCGAGAGUAACUGCUCGCAAGGUGACGGUACCUGAGAAGAAAGCCCCGGCUAACUACGUGCCAGCAGCCGCCGUAAAAC
rnacentral:rRNA from 1 species